rnacentral:pre_miRNA from 1 species
GUUGUACUCCCUCCGUCCGGAAAUACUUGUCACCAAAAUGAAUAAAAGGGAAUGUAUCUAGAUAUAUUUUAGUUCUAGAUACAUCCUUUUUUGUCCAUUUUGAUGACAAAUAUUUUCAGACAGAGGGAGUAUUUC